GGGUUCGAUUCCGGAGAGGGAGCCUGAGAAACGGCUACCACAUCCAAGGAAGGCAGCAGGCGCGCAAAUUACCCAAUCCCGACACGGGGAGGUAGUGACAAUAAAUAACAAUACGGGGCUCUUUCGGGUCUCGUAAUUGGAAUGAGUACAAUUUAAAUCCCUUAACGAGGAACAAUUGGAGGGCAAGUCUGGUGCCAGCAGCCGCGGUAAUUCCAGCUCCAAUAGCGUAUAUUAAAGUUGUUGCAGUUAAAAAGCUCGUAGUUGAAUUUCGGGAUUGACACAUCGGUCGUGCCUUAAGGGGUAUGAACUGGUGUAGUCAAUUUCUCACCUUCUGGAGAACCGCGAUGCCCUUAAUUGGGUGUCGCGGGGAACCAGGACCUUUACUUUGAAAAAAUUAGAGUGUUUAAAGCAGGCAUUUUGCUUGAAUACAUUAGCAUGGAAUAAUAAAAUAGGACGGCAUGAUUCUAUUUUGUUGGUUUCUAGGAUCACCGUAAUGAUUAAUAGGGAUAGUUGGGGGCAUUAGUAUUCAAUUGUCAGAGGUGAAAUUCUUGGAUUUAUUGAAGACUAACUACUGCGAAAGCAUUUGCCAAGGAUGUUUUCAUUAAUCAAGAACGAAAGUUAGGGGAUCGAAGACGAUCAGAUACCGUCGUAGUCUUAACCAUAAACUAUGCCGACUAGGAAUCAGACGAUGUUAAUUUUUUAAUGACUCGUUUGGCACCUUAC
rnacentral:rRNA from 1 species